rnacentral:rRNA from 1 species
CAGAUCCCUAUGGGAUGCAGCAGUAGGGAAUAUUGCUCAAUGGGGGAAACCCUGAAGCAGCAACGCCGCGUGGAGGAUGAAGGUUUUCGGAUUGUAAACUCCUUUUGUUAGAGAAGAUAAUGACGGUAUCUAACGAAUAAGCACCGGCUAACUCCGUGCCAGCAGCCGCGGUAAUACGGAGGGUGCAAGCGUUACUCGGAAUCACUGGGCGUAAAGAGCGCGUAGGCGGGAUAGCAAGUCAGAUGUGAAAUCCUAUGGCUUAACCAUAGAACUGCAUUUGAAACUGUUAUUCUAGAGUAUGGGAGAGGUAGGUGGAAUUCUUGGUGUAGGGGUAAAAUCCGUAGAGAUCAAGAGGAAUACUCAUUGCGAAGGCGACCUGCUAGAACAUUACUGACGCUGAGGCACGAAAGCGUGGGGAUCAAACAGGAUUAGAUACCCAAGUAGUCC